UUGUGUUCAUAGUACGGCCCCCGGAGGAUUUUAUGACCAUGGUAGGAAUUUGAAAUGGCCCCUCGAAUGAAAAAGGUUCCCCACCCCUGCAUUAAACCUUUCUACUAGCCACAGCUUUGCUGUCAGUACAUUUUAUUAUGAUACUAUAAGCUCAGAAAUUAAGUUGAUCAAACAAUUCGAUCUGUGCUAUAAACAUUUAAAUGAACCUACAGAAUAGGCUAUCAAAAUAGAAUCAUCUGAAUGAUCUUUCUUGGACAUACAUUUUGAAGUGACCCUUUGAAUUAAAAAGGUUCCUCAGCUGCUUUUGAGGAAAAACAUCAAUGUGCUUGGCCACUCUGGUUUUUAAAUGGUAUUCUGAACUAAAGCAAGGAUUGUUCAAGUUAGUUGAAAAUAGACCGUCUCUGGUUAAAUUAGUUCUACACCAAGCCUUUAGGUGGCAGUAAAACUAAUUGGCACAAUGCGAAUUCCACACACAAGCCACAAAGAAGCCAUCAGCCGCGGUCAACAACACCUUCCUGAUUGAACAGAACCACGCGCUGUCUGUGUGGUUUACAAGUUUCUUGGCGAUAUGGGGGAAAAGUUCCUCACAUACCAACGGAAAAUGGGCUUCAUAUACAUGCUGCUGUCUCAUAAUAUGGCGAAGACGAGUCACCUGAAGGCCUAACUCGCCAUAGAAGACUGAAAGAAUUGUCCUGCAGGAUGCUGUGUCCUGCAAUCCUGUGUGAUGUGCUACAGACGCGUGUGGAGGUCAACCCAAAAUGGGCACAGUCUCACCACAGAAGAGUGAAAGAGGAUCCUGGCAGGUAGACGGUAGUGUCCUGCAGAAUGGUGAUGGGCCAAUCUUACAAGAGACCACAGAAAACUGAUAUAGUGAACUAUAGAAACAACAGUGCCUGCUGCAGUAUAACGAGGACACCCUGAGCAGAGAGCUCCAAUAGACCCAGGUCCAGUAUCUUGGCAGGGUGAAAUGGAACUGAUAUGGGUAUGUACUGAUGUCAGUUAAAAUGAAUGAAUGAAUUAAUUCUCAUAUCUGAAUAAUGUGAACACUG